AUGUGGACGUUUUAUUACUAUCUGAGAAGUAAGAAAUUGAGUUUAGAAUAAGAAAGAAGGCAUACCAGAAAGGAUUAAAGUGGGAAACAGAGGGAUAGAUUGAUGAGACUGCUUUAAAAAGAAAAGAGCAGGACAGACACAGAUUAUCCUUUGGGGCACCCAUAACCUGAGAGGGCUAAAAAAUACCUA